ACUAUGCCUAGUCGUAAACUUUAAUCUACUCCCACAUCGCCCGGGAACUACGAGCUAAGCUUAAAACCCAAAGGACUUGACGGUACCCCAUAUCCCCCUAGAGGAGCCUGUCCUAUAAUCGAUAACCCCCGUUUAACCUCACCAUUUUUUGCCAGUCAGCCUGUAUACCUCCGUCGUCAGCUUACCACGUGAGCGUCAGUGAGCCUAAUGUUUCUCCAACUACACGUCAGGUCAAGGUGCAACAUAUAAAAUGGGAAGAGAUGGGCUACACUUUCUUCCAUAGAAUAAACGAAAGACUAAAUGAAACCUAGUCAGAAGGCGGAUUUAGCAGUAAAAUGAAACUAGAGCGUUCACUUAAAUGCGGCACUGGGGUGUGUACACACCGCCCGUCACCCUCCUCAACUCUGCAUAAAAGUUUUUAACACCUUCCCAGAGACUCAG
rnacentral:rRNA from 1 species